CAGAUGUAGAGAACAGAACAGAUCAGGAGGUAGACCGAGCCACUUCCUCGGUUGGUAGACGGGGCGUAUACUCAAUGCUCUGUCAAGUGCAUCAACAUAACAUCACCUACCUGUACCUGUGUUCCUGUACCAGCAGCUGUGGCUGAGUUUCUGAUGACAUUCGGAUGACGGGUAGCAAGCAACAGCGGUGCAGUGACAGCGGUAGCGGCAACAAGGAGCGUUUGGCAGUUAUCAAAAACAAAUUUCCAAUUGUUAUGCACUUUGCUUGGAUUUAUUUAUAGACGCGAUAUUGGUUUUAAGUAUUAAAUACAUGAGAGAUACAAUUAAACAACAAAAGAAAAAGAGAGUGUUCGCGAGUGUGUGUGUAUAAAUGGAAACAAAUCAAUCAAAGUUCAAAGUAAUCGUAAAUGUAAUCGAACACUAAAAACACACAGAUCAAUCGGGAUAUUGAGUAAACAUAAACAUAAAUCAAAAGACUGGCAAAUAUAUAUAGUCGGAAAUCUAGAUACAGUAGAUAAAACUUAAAACGAAAGUCGCAUGAGUUUUUAUGAUUAAUUUUUUAGUAAAGCUUCUUCUCGUCAAUGAAGAGGAAAAAACAUGAAUUUAAGGCGGCAAAAGCGGCAAAAACUUUAAUCGAUUUCGACAAAAUUUAGAUUCGUUUUGUUUGUUUUUCUUUUGUACACAAAAUGGAUGAUUGGUAGUGGACGAGAAAGAGAUAGUGUGUGUGACAAACAUAAUAGUAACGAAACGAAUUAGUAAAAAGCAGUAAUAAAAAAUGAAUAAUAAAAUCUCAUGCAACAUCACUAUAAAAUAAAUAAAGUUUUGAUUAAAUUAAAUUCAAUAUAAAUAAACAAUACAAGUUCUUCAUCGUCAUCAUCAUCAUCAUAUCAUCGUCGCUAUCAUCAACAUCAUCGAUGGACUGAAGGGUCAUCCGGGACAAGAUUCGGUUCUGAGUUAUUGGUAAAAGUCUGAUUACAAGGUACAGCCGAAACGAGGACUACAAAGGCUAAAGCAUCGCUUGGAAACAACAACCUGACUCUGACAUCUAUAAAUAUAAAACUAUGGGAAAACAUGAAUCAUCAUUCGAGACCCGCGGCUCAAUGACUGAACAGCCGUAACUGAUUAAUCUAAUUAAAUUCGUUUCUGCACCAUAAACAGAAUCAUCAAUUCAUGUUCUUGCCGUCUAAUGACCAAGCGUAUGAGUUGGCCUCGACUAAGAUCGGUAUAUAUCUCUCAUCUCUGAUCCUGAUCCACCUUAUAGACAGUCGCAGCAAGAAUAACAACAACAUCUAGCAGGUAAUUUAUCAUUGUAUUUUUUUUUUCUAAAACUAGAAAAAUCCCCGUAAUAAACCUAAGCAAAAUAUAUAUAUAUUAUUUUUUUCGGUUCUGGUGUUUUCGUUUUAUUGAAAAGAAAAGAAAAAUUGAAAUAAAUUUCAAGAUUUACUUGAGAAAAAUACAUAAAUGCUUUUCAUUGUAGCUGAAAGAACCAGAAAUCCAGACAGCCCCGCCUGACUAAAAAUAGCGAAACGGAUUUUUUAAACGCUAAUCUAUUGGAAAUUAGUUCUCGAAAGCAAAACAUUCUCCAAAAAAGAAAUUGAAAAUAGAACACACAUAUGUCUCUACUCUAUCUAUAUAUCCCUGGGUAGGGUGGCGGCAGUGCGCGAACAAGAUUUGGCUGGCAGCUGAAAGCCCAUGGCUGAAUGGCUUUCGAUAUUUUCAGUUCGUGCUGUGGUCUCUACGGGCUGCUCUAGUUUUUGCGCACGUUCUAUCUUUCAUAUUGGAUGUGUGUGUGUGUAUCUGGCAGAUACAAGACACUAGAUACGCGCACCGUGCUGCUGCUGCUGCGCUAGAUGUGUCAUCCAUAAUAUUUUAUGCUAAUAUUCAAAUGAAAAAUAAAACUUUCACGCUCGAGCGGAGGCGGGACAAAUGUGCGUUUUGCACACGGCCCCAAAACUAUCCUACUCAUUUAUAUAUCUGCCUAUAUACCUAUAUAGUAUUUGCGGACGGGUACUGAAAAUUAUUAUGUAUUCCUAAAGUGGCCUGCUUAGCGUGCUCGUUUUCGAAAAAUACAUAGGCUGCUGGCUCUGCCUAUUCCUUAUUUAUAACUCAACUCAAUGGGCUAAAAGAUCUCUCUAUAUUUAUUUCUAUAUCUUUGAGUCAUAUCCACACUUUCACUCAACUCGCUGCGGAUUUUUUGAAAAAUUUCUACUAGCACUUGUUGUUGUUGCUCUUGCUGCUGUCUUGGCCAUGCCAGAAGAAGAAAAAUGGUCUAUAAAUAUUUAUGUUGCAAAAUACUUGUAAUUGUUUUUAUUAUUUUUCAAUUAAAAUUGCUUUAAUUUUUUUGGUUUGUUUUUUUUUUUUCUGGUUACGUUUUUCGUGUUAGACAUCUUUAAAUUAAAUAGUUUUGGGUUGCAUUUCCUUUGCUGUUGCUCACAUUUUGCAAUAUAUGGUUAGUAGAAAAUAACUCGUUCGUUUGAUUGUUUAGAAAAAAAUCCUUGUUGAAAGUUUCGACAGGUUCGCUUUAAAAUAUUCCUCUCUCACUCAAACUUUUACGACUAGUUGAUCAUAUAUAUUAAAGGUAGGUAGUUGGGGCUAGUAGUAGUAACUGUUUGUAAUACGUCAGUAACUCGGGGAUUCGUUGCGUCAGUAUUGGUAUUCUUAACGGUCGUUGUUCUUGAUUUAGUUUUCUUUUUUUUUUUGUAUAUUUUUUUUUUUGUUUUUUGUUCUUUUGAGCAUUCUUUGGAGUUGUUGAUGUUGGUUGGUUGGUUGGUUUGUUUGAACACGGUUCGCUUACGUUUGGUUUUGCUUAGUUUUUCGAACUCUGGGUUUCGGUUUUGGCUUAGCUUUUAGUUUAAUCCUUACUUUUAACAGUCAGUUUGGCUGAGGACUCAACCUGGCCGGUGGACGACGUCACGCGUACAGUAAAGAUGCCCGAA